rnacentral:lncRNA from 1 species
GCGAGGUUUUCACCCAAGGAUUUAAGGUCAAGAUCAUCACAAUGCCUCCAGCAAGGUGAACGGCGUCCGAGGACAUCACCAUUGUUAGCGCCGACCGAAGUAAGGCAAGACUUUCACCUGCGACCCAAAGAUCCACCCUCCAUCUUGAUUAUCGCUGGUGGUGCAACAUGAAGAUCGAAAUCGACGAGCUUGGCGACCAAUGGAGCAAGCGCAG